rnacentral:rRNA from 1 species
CCGGUGUGAAAGUCCAUCGCUUAACGGUGGAUCCGCGCCGGGUACGGGCGGGCUUGAGUGCGGUAGGGGAGACUGGAAUUCCCGGUGUAACGGUGGAAUGUGUAGAUAUCGGGAAGAACACCAAUGGCGAAGGCAGGUCUCUGGGCCGUCACUGACGCUGAGGAGCGAAAGCGUGGGGAGCGAACAGGAUUAGAUACCCUGGUAGUCCACGCCGUAAACGGUGGAUGCUGGAUGUGGGGACCAUUCCACGGUCUCCGUGUCGGAGCCAACGCGUUAAGCAUCCCGCCUGGGGAGUACGGCCGCAAGGCUAAAACUCAAAGAAAUUGACGGGGGCCCGCACAAGCGGCGGAGCAUGCGGAUUAAUUCGAUGCAACGCGAAGAACCUUACCUGGGCUUGACAUGUUCCCGACAGCCGUAGAGAUACGGUCUCCCUUCGGGGCGGGUUCACAGGUGGUGCAUGGUCGUCGUCAGCUCGUGUCGUGAGAUGUUGGGUUAAGUCCCGCAACGAGCGCAACCCUCGCCCUGUGUUGCCAGCACGUCGUGGUGGGAACUCACGGGGGACCGCCGGGGUCAACUCGGAGGAAGGUGGGGAUGACGUCAGAUCAUCAUGCCCCUUACGUCCAGGGCUUCACGCAUGCUACAAUGGCCGGUACAACGGGAUGCGACACUGUGAGGUGGAGCGGAUCCCUUAAAACCGGUCUCAGUUCGGAUUGGAGUCUGCAACCCGACUCCAUGAAGGCGGAGUCGCUAGUAAUCGCGGAUCAGCAACGCCGCGGUGAAUGCGUUCCCGGGCCUUGUACACACCGCCCGUCAAGUCAUGAAAGUGGGUAGCACCCGAAGCCGGUGGCCCAACCUUUUGGGGGGAGCCGUCUAAGGUGAGACUCGUGAUUGGGACUAAGUCGUAACAAGGUAGCCGUACCGGAAGGUGCGGCUG